AACCAGUGCGGGGUGCCUAAUACAUGCAAGUCGAGCGAAUCUGAGGGAGCUUGCUCCCAAAGGUUAGCGGCGGACGGGUGAGUAACACGUGGGCAACCUGCCUGUAAGACUGGGAUAACUUCGGGAAACCGGAGCUAAUACCGGAUAAUUCUUUCCUACUCAUGUAGGAAAGCUGAAAGAUGGUUUCGGCUAUCACUUACAGAUGGGCCCGCGGCGCAUUAGCUAGUUGGUGAGGUAACGGCUCACCAAGGCCACGAUGCGUAGCCGACCUGAGAGGGUGAUCGGCCACACUGGGACUGAGACACGGCCCAGACUCCUACGGGAGGCAGCAGUAGGGAAUCUUCCGCAAUGGACGAAAGUCUGACGGAGCAACGCCGCGUGAGUGAUGAAGGUUUUCGGAUCGUAAAACUCUGUUGUUAGGGAAGAACAAGUACCGGAGUAACUGCCGGUACCUUGACGGUACCUAACCAGAAAGCCACGGCUAACUACGUGCCAGCAGCCGCGGUAAUACGUAGGUGGCAAGCGUUGUCCGGAAUUAUUGGGCGUAAAGCGCGCGCAGGCGGUUCCUUAAGUCUGAUGUGAAAGCCCCCGGCUCAACCGGGGAGGGUCAUUGGAAACUGGGGAACUUGAGUGCAGAAGAAGAGAGUGGAAUUCCACGUGUAGCGGUGAAAUGCGUAGAGAUGUGGAGGAACACCAGUGGCGAAAGCGACUCUCUGGUCUGUAACUGACGCUGAGCGCGAAAGCGUGGGGAGCGAACAGGAUUAGAUACCCUGGUAGUCCACGCCGUAAACGAUGAGUGCUAAGUGUUAGAGGGUUUCCGCCCUUUAGUGCUGCAGCUAACGCAUUAAGCACUCCGCCUGGGGGAGUACGGUCGCAGACUGAAACUCAAGGAAAUUGACCGGGGGCCCGCACAAGCGGUUGGAGCAUGUGGUUUAAUUCGAAGCAACGCGAAGAACCUACCAGGUCUUGACAUCUCUGACAAUCCUAGAGAUAGACUUCCCCUUCGGGGACAGAGUGACAGUUGUGCAUGAUGUCGUCAGCUCUGUCGUGGAAUGUGAUAAGUUCCCGCACCGAGCGCAA
rnacentral:rRNA from 2 species